GGAGAACUCUGGAGAAGAGGGAAUGGCAGUCGGAAGCGAACAUACUGCAAGUCGCUUUUGGUGUGAGAGAAUCGACCAUCUACAGAGACGUUGCCCGGGGGCACCCAGAUGCGUUACCAUCCUGCUGGGAGGCUUCUCCCAUGUCUCCACAUGGGAAGCUAGGGCUGACAGAUGGAAGCUCACCCCAUCUCACAGAUUUGAACCACCAACCUUUAGCUCAGCAGUUCAGCCGGCACAAGGGUUUAACCCAUUGCUCUACCACACCCCCUUAUUAUUGAUAAUUAUUCUACUGAAGAAGACCACUGAAAUGACUUCACAAGUUCCUGAGAGUGUAUGCCUAAAUAUCUUUUGAAAUUUGCCACCAUAAACACUUUUUGGAAUUUUUGCAAGCAUAAAUAGAUUUUUAUUUAUAUGGACCUGAGUUCAUUCUUAUGAUCAUGUAAUGGAUAGAUUUGUUUUGCCUGUGUGUUUACAAUCCCUGUUGUGCGGAGGUGUAAUUCUAUUUAGGGAAUUGCUGGCUCUUACUUAUUUUUUAUAUGUCCUGGCUGAUUGUUUUAACAGGUUUUGAAAAUUUGUUAGCAUUCAUAGAAUAUAUUGAGACAGAUUUAAGUUGCCACAUGUUCUCAAAGAUUAUGGUGUUAAUUCUGUAUGUAUAUUGACAAUCUAUAUUACAAUCUAGUAACUAGGGUAACUCAGCCUGAAAUGUCAUAACUAUUUGCCAUUCUGUAUAUAUUUUAUGUUGAUUCUAUUACAAUGGUUUGUUUAUCAUACAUGUUUAUUACAUGUUGCUUCAGUUAUUUGUUAGGGGUAUUUUUGUUAUUGAAAAAUCAAUUCCCGCCCCCCCCCCGCCCCCCAAAAAAGAAUGAAUUAAACACGUUAUUGCUAUUAAAUAUUUGUUAAGAAACAUAAUAUAACUUCUGCAGUUACAAAAGACCAAUGUUUCAGGCUUUCACAAAGGUUCAUCUUCACAACCACCCAGAGCCUGGACAUUCCUGAAAGGAUUAAAUCAAUCAUCAAC
rnacentral:lncRNA from 11 species